CAAUAGCGUAUAUUUAAGUUGUUGCAGUUAAAAAGCUCGUAGUUGGAUUUCGGGUGGGACGCAGCGGUCUCGCAUUGCGUUUGUACUGCUGCAGCCCUCCUUCUUGCCGGGGGCGGCCUCUCGGACUUCACUGUCUGGGGGUCAGAAUCGGCGAUGUUACUUUGAGUAAAUUAGAGUGUUCAAAGCAAGCUUACGCUCUGAAUAUAAUAGCAUGGGAUAACACGACAGGACUCUGGCCUAUCGUGUUGGUCUAUAGGACCAGAGUAAUGAUUAAGAGGGACAGUCGGGGGCAUUCGUAUUCCGUUGUCAGAGGUGAAAUUCUUGGAUUUACGGAGGACGAACAUCUGCGAAAGCAUUUGCCAAGGAUGUUUNCAUUGA
rnacentral:rRNA from 1 species